UUUUAUUCUACACAAUUUAUCACUAUUUUAGUAUGUUUUUACUUGAGAGAUUCAUUGGUUAUAGUAAACCAAAUUGCUCGCUAACUUUAGGUCUCUGUGUCUUUGUUUUACAAUUAAAUCCAAAUUUUCUUGUUUGAUAUUCCUCUUUGAGUGUGUUUUCUUGGCUUAUUUUUUCUUGCUUGUCUUUAAAUUUCUAUUGGUUUUGUCUUAGAGUUUCAUGUGUGUAUUUGACCUCUUGUGUGAUGAUAAGUUCUAUUUGUGGGAUUGCCUUGAUUGAUUUGGAAAGUAACAUCAACACCUUGGUGGUUGAAAUUCAAUUUGAUUCUUCUAAGAGCCUCAAGGAUAAAAGAAGGAUGUGAAAAACUCUCUUCAAAUAACAAGUGUUUCAUGGCAAUCAUAACUUGAAGAUGCACUAGUAGUUGUUAUUUUAAUAUUUAUAUAUGAUUAAUUUUGAUUUAGUUUCAUUUUGAUCUUAUAUUAUUAUAUAGUACUUUGAUGAUUUCAAUUGUUCGACGUACUCUAAAGAUUAAUUAAUAGAAAUCAAGGAAGAAUGGAGUUAGUUCGUACUCGACCUAAAAAUUACAUGAUAUUUUUACUAUAAGAUGAAGGAAGUUCCAAAAAUGUGAAAGUGCAUCAUGGUCUAUUUGUUUCUUUAUAAAAUCUCUUAUGCCUUGUUAUGGGGAAAAAGUCAUAAACGACCAAAUGCGUAGAGAGAUUUUGCUGGACGAGGAUUGAAUGUUAACUAAGAAGAUUUUGAUGUUUAUGUUGACUAAGUUGUAACUUCUUAGAGAUAAGUAAUCAUUUGUAACAUUUAGAGGUAGUGAGUAUAAUUUGUAACUUCUAUUCUAUGUAUAACAAUUACAUACAUUUGAUGAUAUAUUAAGGUUUUAUUGGUUAAA